rnacentral:rRNA from 1 species
UACGUAGGGGCUAGCGUUAUCCGGAAUUACUGGGCGUAAAGGGUGCGUAGGUGGUUUCUUAAGUCAGAGGUGAAAGGCUACGGCUCAACCGUAGUAAGCCUUUGAAACUGGGAAACUUGAGGGCAGGAGAGGAGAGUGGAAUUCCUAGUGUAGCGGUGAAAUGCGUAGAUAUUAGGAGGAACACCAGUAGCGAAGGCGACUUCCUGGCACAAUACUGACGCUCAUGUGCGAAAGCUACGGUAGCGAACGGGAUUAGAUACCCGGGUAGUCCCUGAGCGGGCU